rnacentral:pre_miRNA from 12 species
GUUUUUCUCCUGGUAUCCACUGUAGGCCUAUAUGUUUUUUUGUCAUAAGGCACGCGGUGAAUGCCAAGAGCGAACGA